GUGGGUAUAGCUCAGUGGUAGAGCACACGCUUAGCUUGCAUGAGGUCCUGGGUUCAAUCCCCACUUCCUUCC
rnacentral:tRNA from 1 species